rnacentral:rRNA from 1 species
ACAUACUGUGAGCUCGAUGAGUAGGGCGGGACACGUGGUAUCCUGUCUGAAUAUGGGGGGACCAUCCUCCAAGGCUAAAUACUCCUGACUGACCGAUAGUGAACCAGUACCGUGAGGGAAAGGCGAAAAGAACCCCGGCGAGGGGAGUGAAAAAGAACCUGAAACCGUGUACGUACAAGCAGUGGGAGCCUCUUUAUGGGGUGACUGCGUACCUUUUGUAUAAUGGGUCAGCGACUUAUAUUCUGUAGCAAGGUUAACCGAAUAGGGGAGCCGAAGGGAAACCGAGUCUUAACUGGGCGUUAAGUUGCAGGGUAUAGACCCGAAACCCGGUGAUCUAGCCAUGGGCAGGUUGAAGGUUGGGUAACACUAACUGGAGGACCGAACCGACUAAUGUUGAAAAAUUAGCGGAUGACUUGUGGCUGGGGGUGAAAGGCCAAUCAAACCGGGAGAUAGCUGGUUCUCCCCGAAAGCUAUUUAGGUAGCGCCUCGUGAAUUCAUCUCCGGGGGUAGAGCACUGUUUCGGCAAGGGGGUCAUCCCGACUUACCAACCCGAUGCAAACUGCGAAUACCGGAGAAUGUUAUCACGGGAGACACACGGCGGGUGCUAACGUCCGUCGUGAAGAGGGAAACAACCCAGACCGCCAGCUAAGGUCCCAAAGUCAUGGUUAAGUGGGAAACGAUGUGGGAAGGCCCAGACAGCCAGGAUGUUGGCUUAGAAGCAGCCAUCAUUUAAAGAAAGCGUAAUAGCUCACUGGUCGAGUCGGCCUGCGCGGAAGAUGUAACGGGGCUAAACCAUG